AAAAAAAACAAACUCUGGUUUUCGUGCCCAACGUUUGACCGUCCGUCUUAUUUUUAAAAAAUAUAAAAAAAUUAAAAAGACAAGUCACGCAUAAAAUAUUAAUCGCAUAAAAUAUUAAUCAUAUUUUAUCAUCUAACAACAACGAAAAUACGAAUUAUAAAAAAAUUUCAUAUGAGACGGACAGUCAAAGUUGGACACGGAAACCCAGAGUUUGUCUUUUC
rfam:Oryza sativa Japonica Group DNA, chromosome 1, cultivar: Nipponbare, complete sequence.